ACUCUUAAGGCUGAGACACGACGUCGAGCUACUACGGUAGUGAAGUCAUUGAUGCCAUGCUUCCAGGAAAAGCCUCUAAGCUUCAGAUUGUAAGGAAUCGUACCCCAAACCGACACAGGUGGUCGGGUAGAGAAUACCAAGGCGCUUGAGAGAACUCGGGUGAAGGAACUAGGCAAAAUGGUACCGUAACUUCGGGAGAAGGUACGCUCUUGAUGGUGAAGUCCCUUGCGGAUGGAGCUGACGAGAGUCGCAGAUACCAGGUGGCUGCAACUGUUUAUUAAAAACACAGCACUGUGCAAAAUCGUAAGAUGACGUAUACGGUGUGACGCCUGCCCGGUGCCGGAAGGUUAAUUGAUGGGGUUAGCGUAAGCGAAGCUCUUGAUCGAAGCCCCGGUAAACGGCGGCCGUAACUAUAACGGUCCUAAGGUAGCGAAAUUCCUUGUCGGGUAAGUUCCGACCUGCACGAAUGGCGUAAUGAUGGCCACGCUGUCUCCACCCGAGACUCAGUGAAAUUGAAAUCGCUGUGAAGAUGCAGUGUACCCGCGGCUAGACGGAAAGACCCCGUGAACCUUUACUACAGCUUGGCACUGAACAUUGAACCUACAUGUGUAGGAUAGGUGGGAGGCUUUGAAGACGUGACGCCAGUUGCGUUGGAGCCGUCCUUGAAAUACCACCCUUGUAUGUUUGAUGUUCUAACGUUGGCCCCUAAUCGGGGUUGCGGACAGUGCCUGGUGGGUAGUUUGACUGGGGCGGUCUCCUCCCAAAGAGUAACGGAGGAGCACGAAGGUGGGCUAAUCACGGUUGGACAUCGUGAGGUUAGUGCAAUGGCAUAAGCCCGCUUAACUGCGAGAAUGACGGUUCGAGCAGGUGCGAAAGCAGGUCAUAGUGAUCCGGUGGUUCUGAAUGGAAGGGCCAUCGCUCAACGGAUAAAAGGUACUCCGGGGAUAACAGGCUGAUACCGCCCAAGAGUUCAUAUCGACGGCGGUGUUUGGCACCUCGAUGUCGGCUCAUCACAUCCUGGGGCUGAAGUCGGUCCCAAGGGUAUGGCUGUUCGCCAUUUAAAGUGGUACGCGAGCUGGGUUUAGAACGUCGUGAGACAGUUCGGUCCCUAUCUGCCGUGGGCGUUGGAAGAUUGAAGGGGGCUGCUCCUAGUACGAGAGGACCGGAGUGGACGAACCUCUGGUGUUCGGGUUGUGUCGCCAGACGCAUUGCCCGGUAGCUAAGUUCGGAAUCGAUAACCGCUGAAAGCAUCUAAGCGGGAAGCGAGCCCUGAGAUGAGUCUUCCCUGAUACUUUAAGUAUCCUAAAGGGUUGUUCGAGACUAGAACGUUGAUAGGCAGGGUGUGUAAGCGCUGUGAGGCGUUGAGCUAA
rnacentral:rRNA from 1 species